ACGACACCUUUGACGUCUCCGGCGGGGCCAAGUUGCUGUCCAUGACAAAGCUUCUUUUGGCUUGCCAUGGCCCAGAGUAAAUAAGGAAGAGAUGCCCAGCCCCGAAUUACUGCGAAAUCUUCUUGUUUUCGACCCCAUUCGCAAAUAAAGCGGCAGAAACCAAGAAGACUCCGUCUCGCCUCCCUAGCCACUGGUAUUGACGUGCUCCGGGUUUGUUUUUCGCGCCUUAUUUGUACGGGCCAGCACCAGUUGCCGUAUAUAUAUAUAUCUGUAUAGAUAUAUACAUAUAGCACGUACACCCAAUCGAGCAUCGACUGCCCCCCGAAAUCGACGUCGUGACUAACGCGCAGCGGAAUUUCGUAAACAACCGACCAUCAGUUGCCUCCGGAGGAUGUUACGGGAAUUAUUAUUUGCCUCCACUUGGCUACCAUCGUCAUCAUCAUCAUCAUCACCAACACCAUCAGCAUUGGGCGUACCGAAUGCAUAAAUUUCACUGCAAAUGUCGCUCCAUGUUUCUGCUGGCUUUCUUUGUGGGUCUCCGCAAGACUCUGUAACGGAAGUGGUGGCUAUUAUACGGACGAAUAUCUGGCGCCUUCGAUUGGGCAGUGCGCAAAUUGCAAGUGGGCGGUGGACAUAUCCAUAUGUACAAAUAAAUACUUAUCAGACAUAAGCGAAUAACUGAGAAUUAUUCUAGAAAUAUUUUAUAGAACUCGACAGAUUUAAGGAAAGCAGAUGCUGAAUAUUAAGUUGAUCUAUUCUACAAUUUCCAGGCGUCAGUACAAAUUCAGUUUAUUCUAAAUUAACAUUUUUCAAAUGUCUAUUUUGGCAUUAAUUUUUAGUGAUUCGUAUUGCUUAGCAUUUAAUUGAGUGUCGCAAUCAAUUUGGGGCCGAGACAGACAGCCACAGGCAGCCAAGAUAUUUUGGGUCUCCACCGCCGAAUGGAGGAUGCACAUCGACGAUGUGCGAUGUGAAUGCGCUGCAGUUUGCCGUUCAAACACAUGUUGGAUGGUCCAAACACAAACCGCAUUGCCCGGCGAGGGAGCGAGCGAGAUGGGGAUCCAAAAAUGCUAAUACACGUCGGCCAGCAGAAAUCAAAAUAAGAAACCCGUGCUGCUAAAAAUAAAAACAGACGACGGCGACACAUCGAUGCGGUCGGAAAAAAGCACACGGAGGCAAGCGGAGGAGCACGAUAUAAGACAGCUUUGGGAGCGUCUUGAAUACGCGUAUAUCUGGCUAUUUGUGAAUGCGAAGGUUUUCAGAGAUUCAGAGAAUCUCUGGGGCGCACAGACUCGUAGAAUGUGUCUAUCCAUCAGAAUGGUCAGGCACUUUCAACACAUAUUGUGGGGGCACCCCGCCUCCGCCCCAUGCACACUCAAUAUUUACAUGAUGACGAUGAUCUUUUGGUCAAUGUUUGUGUUGGUCGGGUAUUACAGAAACCGAUAUCGCGAGUUAUCUAUGCCAUAUAGGCGAUAUACGUGGGGACGGAGGACGGCAGGAGGAGCACAGUCAUGCUCGCAUAUAUUUGUGCUAUUUUUGAACUAUUUCGGUACUGCGAAAUCUAUGUGAUCUACAAAAACCAUGAGAUGACUGAGAAGAUAUGACUGCUGGGUGCCGGAAACUGUAGGAUUCCCGAUCAUAUAAUGCAUUGAGCAUCGAGCACAAAAUCU